UUCAGUUCCAUCUCUCACUCCCUAAAUUCUUCUCUAAGAGACAAAGCAGAAAAAAACUUAGAGAAGAUUAUAUAAACUGUGUGUCUAUGCGUGUUUUAAGUAUAGAUUUAAGUUUUAAGCAAGAUUUGCCAGUGUUUUAUAAGAAUAUUUUGGGUAACUAGACUACUCUCUGAUUAUUCUAAGACCAGGCUUUUAGAAAAGUGUAGGAGAGGAGGGGGAGAGAGAGGAAAAGGAGGAGCUGUGUAGUGAUAGAGACACAAAUAAAUAAUCAUCUAAGGAUAUAAUUACAAAUGAUGAUAAUUGCUAAUAAGAUUAUGUAUUUAUAAACAGAGUAGAAGUCUUAAGAUUAGCUUUGAAGACAUUUUGUUCUCUUAUAUUAAUAGAGUUUCAAUUACAAUCGUAUGCUAGCAAAAUCAAAGGGAGAUGAUUAAAAAUACUGUAUUAUUGAAUCAUCAAAUGAAUAAGUAAAUAUGAAAGUUAUGUGAAAUAUGGCUUUAUAUUGUCCCCUAAAUCUGUGAAAUGUGGGUUGUGAAAAGGUAAAUUUCAAAAUAGGUAACAAUGUAAAGCUCAAAAGAUUUUAAAAGUGAGCACGUACUGAAGAUUUUAUGUUACUCAUAUGAUAUGAAGGAUCCUGGCAGAUAGAUGGUAGAUGUUAGAAACAGUUGAAAUGAAAAGUCAACAUAGCACAAAUUUUCGUAGUGUAAGGGAAUUGGAGAUGAAUUGUCAAUGGAGGCAAAUUGGGUUUCCCACAACAGGGAAGAAAUUAAUUAAAUUUCUACCAGACAAGACAUAAUUUACAUAGCUCAGAGACAAUGAACAGGGCUAUAGAUAAUACAUCCGUUUUUAUUGAAACACAAAAGUUUUACUACAGUAUCAUUCAUUAGUCACAAGGGAAAUUGAGAUUAUGCAGGGAUGGAUGGCAUAGUGUCACUUUUUCAUGAGGAGAUAAUAACCAUACUAAUAGUGAUUAUAUUUUAAACAAAGUAACAAAAUCUAUUGCUGAAUAAUGUUGAAACUUUUCUGCAGUUUUUUUGUAAAAGAUUAUAAACAUUUAUUACCAUUUUGUUUUAAAAUUCUAACAAUCUUUCUAAAAAGCUAAUUUCUUUAAAGGUAAAAUGCUUUCAGAAGAAAAUUAUGAAUUUGGAGUGAAUUUGUUUUUAUUUUAAACUUAAAUUUGGUGGUUUUCCCUUUUAGUUGUGCUCUCCUAAGACAGAUUUGUAAUCAUAUUAAUCAUGUAAUCAUGAUAUUAUUCUAAACUCCUUAAAUUGUCCUCCAAAAAAUAUAAGAAAAUUAAGGUUAGACUUGUAUAUUGGACUUGUAUAUUCUAAUAUUGAGAAUUAUAUGAGAAAAUUAAGGUUAGACUUGUAUAUCAGCGCCUUGAAUGUUGAAAUUGUUGGCCCCACAUUAUCUAGAUGAACUAAUGUACUCUUAAUUUUGUGAUUUUUCCAAGGGUUGGGACAUGGUAUAUUGCUUAGUGCAUUUUCAGGACGAGCUUAGGAGGUGACCAAUAAAUGUACAUGUGGUGGAAAUAAAUAUGUUUGAAACCAUAAA